CCCGAGCCCCAUCCCCCCCUGCAGCCCUCCCCGCCGCCCCCUGCACCCUCCUCGCCUCUCCCCUGCACCUUCCCGCCGCCCCCCUGCACCCUCCCCGCCGCCCCCCUGCACCCCUCCCCGCCGCCCCCCUGCACCCCCUGCACCCUCCCCGCCGGCCCCCCGCCCCCCUCCCCCGCCGUCCCGAGCCCCGCCGCCCCCCCCCUCCGCCGCCCGGAGCCCCGCCCCGGAGCUCCCCCCGCCCCCCGGCGAGGACGGCCGCCCCGGUCGCCCGGCGCCCCCCAGAGGAGGGAAAGUUGGAGCUGGCGCAGGGGCGCCCCCGGGCGCGGCGGGGCUGCCGCUGGGGAAAGUGCAGCUGCGGGGGCUGGACGCGGGCGCUGCUGCGUGUCGGCGGCCCCGCUCGGCCCCGGAGGCUCCCCCGCCCGCCCGCUCUCCUGCGGGCCGCGGCGGCUGGUCUCGUCCCUCGGUCGCCCGCGGGCUCCUGGGUCGGGGCUACUUUGCGACCCGCUGGCGGGAGGGCGGGCAGCCCCCUCCCCCCCCCCCUCCCCUCCCCUCCCCUCCCCCCCCCCCCCCCCCCCCCCCCCCCCCCCCCCCCCCCCCCCGCCCCGGCCGGCCGAGGGCACGACUUCGGUGUCGGCCCCAGCGCUGCCCCGGACGCGCGUGGAGGCGCGGAGCCGGCCUCGUGGUGGCGGCCUCGCCCCUGGAGCCCGGCACGCCCGGCCCGCUCGCGGAUCGGGGACUUCCACCCGGGCCGCCGACCUGGGCGCCUGCUGCGGGCCGCGCCCGCCCUCCCCCUCCCCCGCGGGGACCCCGACGCGCCCCCCGGCCCCGGCUCCGGCCCCCGGCGUCCGCGGACACUCGCGCGGCGCCCCGCCCCCCCCAGCCCCCCUCGGCGCCCGCGGCGGGCGCUCCCGGCAGGUGGGGCCGCCCCCGGCCCAGGCCCCCGCCCGGGGACUCCGGCGAGCGGGAGCAGGGUGCCUGCCAUUGCCGGGGAGCUGGGCCAUGACCAAUUCACCAAGAGCUGGUAUUUCUGUUUGGCUGGGUCCCAGUAGGGGAAGAAAAUAUUUGGGCGAAAGGACAAGAGAAGAUUGCUUCGAGCUGUUAUGA
rnacentral:lncRNA from 1 species